rnacentral:rRNA from 1 species
UACGUAGGGUGCGAGCGUUAAUCGGAAUUACUGGGCGUAAAGCGUGCGCAGGCGGUGAUGUAAGACAGAUGUGAAAUCCCCGGGCUCAACCUGGGAACUGCAUUGGUGACUGCAUCGCUCGAGUAUGGCAGAGGGGGGUAGAAUUCCACGUGUAGCAGUGAAAUGCGUAGAGAUGUGGAGGAAUACCGAGUGGCGAAGGCAGGCCCCCUGGGUCAAUACUG